UUUACCGUUGGUAACCCCCUGGUAUUGUUCAAAUGACACCUGCCCCUGCCUCUUCUGGAGAUCUUCUGCUGUGGCUUCGCUCUCUGCAUGGCUGGAAGGUUCCCACAUGGAUUCUGAGGAAGCUGCAAUGUGAGGGCCCACGAGUGAGCAGAUUAGUUAUCAGCCGCUAUUCCAGUCCUACCUGAGAUGGAGCUGAGAAGAUUCUCCAGAUAUUUUUCUACUGGCACUGUGCGCUUUGUGCGGGAGGUAUCUGAGGAGGUGUGAGAAGCUGUAGACAUCCCAGAAGAAAGCAAAAGAAGCUUCAGGACCCCUGAAAUGAUAGAGCUGGAGUGUUCCCCAAAUAUUC